UCGCCCUGCGCAACCUGUGACGGCGCUCGCCCUCCGCCGGUCCGCCCCUCCCUGAACGCUCACCCUGCGCCGACCUGUGGCGGCGCUCGCCCCGCCGCCGACGGAGUGCCAUCGCCUGCCCUCCCUGGACGCUCGCACCGCGCCGCCCUGUGACGGGCGCUCGCCCUGCCGCCGGCGUCGUGCCAUCGCCUGCCCUCCCUGGACGCUCGCCCCGCGCCGCCCUGUGACGGGCGCUGACCCCGCCGCCGACGGCGUCCCAUCGCCUCGCUCCCCUCCGCGCUCCCAGCGACCUCGCCCAGCACGCGUGCCUAGCUCCCUCCGGGUUUCUCCGGCCGGCCUCGUGGACGCUGCCUCCCUCCGCGCCCCCGGCGGCCUCCAACACGGGUGCCUCCCUCCGGCCGACGCCGAGGACGUUGCUCGCCCCCCUGUACCCUGCACCGUCACCUAUACCGCCGGGACACCAGAAUGAUCACUGAAGUUGAAGAAAUCAGCAUCUGGAACCGACAUUUCACCAGUGCCUUUAUCUGGAGAUUCCUGGUUCAAACAGCCAUUUUUGCCAGCCACCGCUCCAUCCUCAUCAUGGUCUCCUGUCCUUGAGAAAGAACUCCACGUCUCCUUAAAGUUAGCUGUGACAAUUGUAGUAACUGCACUUGCAAAAUGUUGCUGCUUUUUUAUUCGAGUAAGCUUGCAUGUUUCAGCAUUC